rnacentral:lncRNA from 1 species
UCUGAUGUUAUCUGGCUUCUCUCUCCCUCCGAGCGAAAUAGUUUCGUGGAGCCGAAAGGCUGUUUGGGUUCCGGCAAGAACUAGUUAUGGACGACGAAGCCCUGCCAGAUAGAUGACACCGUAUGUGUGCAACUGUGUAGAGAGAUCGUUGUUUCGGCCUUAGUUCAAGAGUGCCUCCCGAAGGGCUGUCCGAGUGACUGCCGGAGUUUCGAAGGUCCUCCCGAAGGGUUGUCCGAGUGACCGUUCGAGAUUCAAAAGAACCUCCCGAAGGGCUGUCCGCGAAACCGUACAGGGGACUGUCUGACCGCCUCCCGGAGGGCUGUCCGAGGGGCUAAUGAGGGUAUGCAUCCUCGUGGUUGGGAGGUUGUAAAUCCGAGCUGCGGGGAUCUGCACCGCCGAUCAUCAUCGACUCUACUUCCGCCGCGCUACGAGUCGGUAAAGAAAAUGAUCAAACCUUGUAUGCAGUCUCCAUAGUGGUCCUGGGUUGGAGCGUAGGUCGGAUUUUUUUUGUUUUCUGUUGUGUUACGCUUCAAUGUGAUGGCGUCGUGCCAGAUCCCGAGGAUUUCCAGCAUCGUACAAUUUUCUCAGGAUUUAAAUUGUUGCAUCUGGCAUGGCACCGAGGUAAUUUCACCCCCCGAUGGCAGGGCCUGCCCCUCCCUCAUCUGCAUAAGGCCUACGCAUGUCACAAAGACAUCAAAUAAGAUUUUCCAUUCAGCUUCUGGGCAUAAUUCCAUGUGCCUCCUUGCAGAUUUGCAAUUUCCGGCGCUGAAACCCUAGUAGUGCAAUAAAUGUCUCAAAUAUUGCACGCGGGUCCGGAAAAUGCGGGGGACUAGCAUGUGUCAUCAAUGGCCUUCUUUGAGAGGCCUAGAAGUUUCGAGGGCAACAGAGGAACAAGACCCGCACUUCCUUCACAAACCGGACACAUUCCCUCUUGAUACCGAGAGACUAGCUCGGUGAUGGUGCGGUU